GUUUCAGCCGCCGCGGUAAGACGUAGGGGGCGAGCGUUGUCCGGAAUCACUGGGCGUAAAGCGCGCGCAGGCGGCUCGCUAAGUCGGGUGUGAAAACCCGGGGCUCAACCCCGGGCCUGCACCCGAUACUGGCGGGCUUGAGGCAGGUAGGGGAGAUCGGAAUUCCCGGUGUAGCGGUGGAAUGCGCAGAUAUCGGGAGGAACACCGGUGGCGAAGGCGGAUCUCUGGGCCUGUCCUGACGCUGAGGCGCGAAAGCUAGGGGAGCGAACAGGAUUAGAUACCCUCGUAGUCC
rnacentral:rRNA from 1 species